rnacentral:rRNA from 1 species
AUGCAGAUGGAGUGUCCAGCUUUGAUUAGGCUGCUGCGAGCGUCCGACAACAGUUGGUACAUCACUGAGCACGGGAAAAUCACAAUCAUUCAAUGUCGCUCACCAUGGAGAAGGUGCCAUUCACAAAGAGGACUCUCGGGAAAUAUAUGUGGGAAGAUUAGCCGCGAACAAGCUGAUGAUGAUGUCUGGAAGACGCUUGAGCAGCCGCAUGGAAUACAAAUUCUUUGGGAUGUUGUCACAUUCGACACCACAUACAUGGCAAACCUGUCCAACAUGCCAUUCGGGUUAUUUGUUGGUGUUAACAAUCACUACCAGAGCAUCAUCCUGGCGGGGGUAUUGAUGCGUGAUGAACACAGAGAGUGCUUUGAGUGGGUUUUUGCAGAAUUCUUGCGUAUGAUGGCUGGGCCUGCCUCCCAAACUAUACUCACAGGCCUCGAAGCUCUGCUACGAAGUGGAGCAGCUCUUGCUGAGAAAAGGGUUGGGUUGGCUUUCAAGGAUCGACUGAUCGAAACUGUAGAUGCAAUACCAGCCGCUAACGACGAGCUAGCAUUUGUGGUGGUGGACACUGAACAGUGUCGUAGUCCUGGGCAUUCUGUCAGUGUGAAUGCAAUGCAAAAUCUUGCAGCCCCAGACAAGCUCAGAGGCGCUGGAAGGCCGACAAACAGCCGGGAGAUGGCUCCGUACGAGGGGUUAAGCAAGAGAACCAGACUCUGCAGCAUUUUCCACCGCGAGGGUCAUAAAAGGACGACAUGCCCAGAAAGAGGUGAUGCACCGAAAAAUCCAUGA